rnacentral:rRNA from 1 species
UGGGGAAUCUUAGACAAUGGGCGAAAGCCUGAUCUAGCGAUGCCGCGUGAGUGAUGAAGGUCUUAGGAUCGUAAAGCUCUUUCGCCAGGGAUGAUAAUGACAGUACCUGGUAAAGAAACCCCGGCUAACUCCGUGCCAGCAGCCGCGGUAAUACGGAGGGGGUUAGCGUUGUUCGGAAUUACUGGGCGUAAAGCGCGCGUAGGCGGGCUGUUAAGUUAGAGGUGAAAUCCCGGGGCUCAACCCCGGAACUGCCUUUAAUACUGGCAGCCUAGAGUUCGAGAGAGGUGAGUGGAAUUCCGAGUGUAGAGGUGAAAUUCGUAGAUAUUCGGAGGAACACCAGUGGCGAAGGCGGCUCACUGGCUCGAUACUGACGCUGAGGUGCGAAAGCGUGGGGAGCAAACAGGAUUAGAUACCCCCGUAGUCC